GGACUAGUAGCGGAGGACAUAUCAUAAGCGGAGGAGCAUAUCAAUAAGCGGAGGAGCAUAUCAAUAAGCGGAGGAGCAUAUCAAUAAGCGGAGGAGCAUAUCAAUAAGCGGAGGAGCAUAUCAAUAAGCGGAGGAACAUAUCAAUAAGCGGAGGAACAUAUCAAUUAGCGGAGGAACUUAAUCACUUUCACGGACGAAUCUCUUGGUUCUGGCAUCGAUUAAUAACGCAGCGAAAUGCGAUAAGUAAUGUGAAUUGCAGAAUUCAGUGAAUCAUCGAAUCUUUGAACGCACAUUGCGCCCCCUGGUAUUCCGGGGGGCAUGCCUGUUCGAGCGUCAUUUCACCACUCAAGCCUCGCUUGGUAUUGGGCGACGCGGUCCGCCGCGCGCCUCAAAUCGACCGGCUGGGUCUUCUGUCCCCUCAGCGUUGUGGAAACUAUUCGCUAAAGGGUGCCACGGGAGGUCACGCCGUAAAACAAGCCCAUUUCUAAGGUUGACCUCGGAUCAGGUAGGGAUACCCGCUGAACUUAAGCAUAUCAAUAAGCGGAGGAAAA
rnacentral:rRNA from 1 species